GGGUGUUCCUGCAGGCUGUGAUAGCAUUCCUGCACAUGUGCAGGCCUGCUGCUGCCUCCUCUUACAGUUGUGCUGAGCCUGGUCCAUCUUCAUCCCUGCACCCACGCGAGGAUAUCGUAGUCACAGACACACCUGAGGAUUAGCUAACAGAAAAAUGGUGUUCGACACCCUUAUCAAGGGUCUAUCUCUUCAUCUGGCGAUCUGUGUCUAUGUAGAUGUGUGCGAGUCACACAUACACACGCAGACACACAUACACGCAGAGCAGAAACUGACUUCAGUGCCAUUUUGCAUCAUCACCCCUAUUAGGAUUAUCAGAGUAUUGGAAUUGUGGGUAAAAGAAGAUCUAUUUCUUUUCCAAAGGGUGAGAAAAAUGGGAAGAUGUCAGGGAGAGGGAAAAGAG